UAAUGUGUCAAUUGCCUGGUUCUCCACUGACAGCUAAAAUUAAACAAAAAAGUGAAUUCCAUUCUACAGUGUGACAAUCUUAUGGGAACACUAGAGGAUAUCCAUAGACAGCAGAAAAAAAAUAGCAAAAUAGAUAUUUUGACUCACAGAAAAUGAAUGUUUGCAAAGAUUCACCAAGAAAUAAAGUCAACCAAAAAAGCAAAGUCAUGGAAAAGAAUUUUUCAUCCAGUGACUACCAAAUGGAGGAAUUAUCGUCUUGAAGGGGAACGUAUCAAUCACUUAAGGAAACUAGAUGGGAGACUGAAGGUGGCAAAAGGAGAGGCAUAGCAAAUGGAAGAAGGUGUCCUAGAGUCACUCUUAAACUUUGAGAAGUUUGAGAUAUUAGGUUGGUGCAAGAGUAAUUGCAGCUUUUACCAUUACUUUUAAGAGCACAAGGACCAAACACAUGAAUAUUUAUACUAAAAAAUAAACUAGAGUUGCUUCAUCUAAGACUACUGUAAAUGCUUUU